rnacentral:tRNA from 2 species
GGGGUCAUAGCUCAGUUGGUAGAGUGUUUGAAUGGCAUUCAAGAGGUCGGGGGUUCGAUCCCCCCUGGCUCCACCA